UGAAAGCUAGGAAAGAGGCUGCCAGA
rnacentral:piRNA from 1 species